AAGUGAAUGACUACUGCAUCCCUGGCGUGAUUCCGUCCUGCGUGUCUGUUCUGAGGAGCAGUAGUCAUUCACUUCCGUCCGCAUUCUCUCCCACCUAAGUGCGCGCCACCACUCCAUGGAAGAUUCGAUGGAUAUGGACAUGAGCCCCCUGAGGCCCCAGAAUUAUCUCUUCGGUUGUGAACUAAAGGCCGACAAAGAUUACCACUUUAAGGUGGAU